CCUACGGGUGGCAGCAGUGAGGAAUAUUGGUCAAUGGACGAGAGUCUGAACCAGCCAAGUAGCGUGAAGGAUGACUGCCCUAUGGGUUGUAAACUUCUUUUAUAAAGGAAUAAAACGAGGCACGUGUGCCUUUUUGCAUGUACUUUAUGAAUAAGGAUCGGCUAACUCCGUGCCAGCAGCCGCGGUAAUCCGGAGGAUCCGAGCGUUAUCCGGAUUUAUUGGGUUUAAAGGGAGCGUAGAUGGGUUGUUAAGUCAGUUGUGAAAGUUUGCGGCUCAACCGUAAAAUUGCAAUUGAUACUGGCAGUCGUGAGUACAGUUGAGGUAGGCGGAAUUCGUGGUGUAACGGUGAAAUGCUUAGAUAUCACGAAGAACCCCGAUUGCGAAGGCAGCUUACUAAACUGUGACUGACAUUGAUGCUCGAAAGUGUGGGUAUCAAACAGGAUUAGAUACCCCUGUAGUC
rnacentral:rRNA from 1 species